rnacentral:tRNA from 2 species
GGGCAUUUGGUCUAGUGGUAUGAUUCUUGCUUUGGGUGCGAGAGGUCCUGAGUUCAAUUCUCGGAAUGCCCC